rnacentral:rRNA from 1 species
GAUGAACGCUGGCGGCGUGCCUAAUACAUGCAAGUCGAGCGAACAGAUGAGGAGCUUGCUCCUCUGACGUUAGCGGCGGACGGGUGAGUAACACGUGGAUAACCUACCUAUAAGACUGGGAUAACUUCGGAAAACCGGAGCUAAUACCGGAUAAUAUAUUGAACCGCAUGGUUCAAUAGUGAAAGACGGUUUUGCUGUCACUUAUAGAUGGAUCCGCGCCGCAUUAGCUAGUUGGUAAGGUAACGGCUUACCAAGGCAACGAUGCGUAGCCGACCUGAGAGGGUGAUCGGCCACACUGGAACUGAGACACGGUCCAGACUCCUACGGGAGGCAGCAGUAGGGAAUCUUCCGCAAUGGGCGAAAGCUUGACGGAGCAACGCCGCGUGAGUGAUGAAGGUCUUCGGAUCGUAAAACUCUGUUAUUAGGGAAGAACAAAUGUGUAAGUAACUAUGCACGUCUUGACGGUACCUAAUCAGAAAGCCACGGCUAACUACGUG